UAAUCAAGCAUGUUGAGAGUUUUCAAAUGAAAUUGAAUCCGGAAUUAUGCGAAAACGUAAAAUGGAACAGGGCCCACACAGCACCGGGCUGUCUUUAAGACGUCCUGAAGAUGUCCAGUUGUCCCGAGUGGGGAUGUCCAAAGGAUGUCUCUGAGCUUUCUUAAAGACUCCUUACUUGUGUCCAAAUUGACCGGGACAAGUACUAUUUUUAGGAUGUCUUUCAGAUUAGCUCAAAGACUUCCUAAAGACGUUCAUUCGCCAUCUUGCCGCCGUCUUAAAGACAUCCUUAUGACAUCUUUAACAUGUCUUCCGGCUAGCGUGAAGACUUCCUAAAGACGUUCUUACGACAUCUUGCCGCCGUCUUAAAGGCAUUCUUGUGCCGUCUUUUACAUGUCUUCCGAUAAGCCUAAAGACUUCCUCAAGAAGACCUAACGACAUUUUUCGAAAUUUACAAAGAAAUCCUUUGGUCAUCUUUCUGAUGACAUCUUAAUGAUAUCUUUAUUACUUCUUAAAGCCAUCUGUUUGUCAUCACAAAAAAAUUCUUGGCUCAGCCCAGAUAGGAAUUGUUGUUCCAUAGUGGCUCCAAAGCCAUGCCAAUGGCACUGCUGCGACGAGUUCACCCAGUAGAUGUUCCAAUCCUAAUCCCUUGAAAAAAGAAGUACUUCCGUUUUUCCGCUAUAUUUCGUUUGUCCCACGUCGAUUUCCCUAGCCCGUCCCAUUUAUUUUCUUUUGGCUCUCUAUCAACACUUAGAAAAAUUCGUUAUUAUCACGUCUUUGUUCAGCGGGGGAGAUUUGCUCACUCCCUUUUACUGUUUCGCUCACUAGAUGACUGGUUCAAUAAAUUUUGUAAGCAGUUUCUAUUAUUUUUUAGAAUAGUUUUUUAUUUGCUAUUUUUAUUAUCCUUCUUGCUGUAGAUUUCUUAUUUUUUAUUGGUAAUUUACGGGAAAAAAAUUUUACUUGACUGUUCAUCAAACAGUGCUUGGCAACGUUUACGCUUAUUCUGGACCUGGAUUGUAGCGUGUUCUGCCUCGUGUGAGAAAGCUGGAAAAGAGUAUCUCUGUUUCUUGCUUCAGUUAAUUGAUAUUUAUACUCAACAAGGACAUUCCUCAUUGGGAUAAGGGGAACUACAAAUACCAUCGUUGGAAGGGUUAUGAAAUCAAUCAUGACCUACGAGUGUGGGAGUUGUUUCUGCUAUACGGAGUUUGUGAAGUGCACAAAUCCAUGACAAGAGAUGCAGUUGAAUCGAAGAUAAAGAAUUUGUUACGUCACUGCCCAAGGUAUGCCUUCAAGAACAAUGAAGAUGGAAAAAUAAAUUGGGAAGAAGGGCUCUGACAAGAUGAUAGCGACUACUAAUUGCUGACUAAUUUAACAUUUUCUACGUAAAGUGCGAUUGUUAAUGCACUGAUUAAAUUACAUAUUUUGAGUUUCAUAUUGUAGCCUACCUGAUAAGUUAAACUAUUUUGAGUUUCAUAUUGUAAUUGAUUAAUUUAACUAUUUUGAGUUUCAAAUUGUACCUGAAGA